ACGAACGCUGGCGGCGUGCCUAAUACAUGCAAGUAGAACGCUGAAGAGAGGAGCUUGCUCUUCUUGGAUGAGUUGCGAACGGGUGAGUAACGCGUAGGUAACCUGCCUUGUAGCGGGGGAUAACUAUUGGAAACGAUAGCUAAUACCGCAUAACAAUGGAUGACACAUGUCAUUUAUUUGAAAGGGGCAAUUGUUCCACUACAAGAUGGACCUGCGUUGUAUUAGCUAGUAGGUGAGGUAAUGGCUCACCUAGGCGACGAUACAUAGCCGACCUGAGAGGGUGAUCGGCCACACUGGGACUGAGACACGGCCCAGACUCCUACGGGAGGCAGCAGUAGGGAAUCUUCGGCAAUGGGGGCAACCCUGACCGAGCAACGCCGCGUGAGUGAAGAAGGUUUUCGGAUCGUAAAGCUCUGUUGUAAGUCAAGAACGGGUGUGAGAGUGGAAAGUUCACACUGUGACGGUAGCUUACCAGAAAGGGACGGCUAACUACGUGCCAGCAGCCGCGGUAAUACGUAGGUCCCGAGCGUUGUCCGGAUUUAUUGGGCGUAAAGCGAGCGCAGGCGGUUUGAUAAGUCUGAAGUUAAAGGCUGUGGCUCAACCAUAGUUCGCUUUGGAAACUGUCAAACUUGAGUGCAGAAGGGGAGAGUGGAAUUCCAUGUGUAGCGGUGAAAUGCGUAGAUAUAUGGAGGAACACCGGUGGCGAAAGCGGCUCUCUGGUCUGUAACUGACGCUGAGGCUCGAAAGCGUGGGGAGCGAACAGGAUUAGAUACCCUGGUAGUCCACGCCGUAAACGAUGAGUGCUAGGUGUUGGAUCCUUUCCGGGAUUCAGUGCCGCAGCUAACGCAUUAAGCACUCCGCCUGGGGAGUACGACCGCAAGGUUGAAACUCAAAGGAAUUGACGGGGGCCCGCACAAGCGGUGGAGCAUGUGGUUUAAUUCGAAGCAACGCGAAGAACCUUACCAGGUCUUGACAUCCCGAUGCUAUUUCUAGAGAUAGAAAGUUACUUCGGUACAUCGGUGACAGGUGGUGCAUGGUUGUCGUCAGCUCGUGUCGUGAGAUGUUGGGUUAAGUCCCGCAACGAGCGCAACCCCUAUUGUUAGUUGCCAUCAUUCAGUUGGGCACUCUAGCGAGACUGCCGGUAAUAAACCGGAGGAAGGUGGGGAUGACGUCAAAUCAUCAUGCCCCUUAUGACCUGGGCUACACACGUGCUACAAUGGUUGGUACAACGAGUUGCGAGUCGGUGACGGCGAGCUAAUCUCUUAAAGCCAAUCUCAGUUCGGAUUGUAGGCUGCAACUCGCCUACAUGAAGUCGGAAUCGCUAGUAAUCGCGGAUCAGCACGCCGCGGUGAAUACGUUCCCGGGCCUUAUACACACCGCCCGUCACACCACGAGAGUUUGUAACACCCGAAGUCGGUGAGGUAACCUUUUGGAGCCAGCCGCCUAAGGUGGGACAGAUGAUUGGGGUG
rnacentral:rRNA from 1 species